AUGGCGGCGCUGCAGGCGGAGCGCGGGUACGGGCUGUCCUGCGGUCGCCUCGGCCGCGGCACCCGCGUCUCCGUCUUCCACGUCAAGCUCACGGAGAGCGCCCUGCGCGCCUUCGAGAGCUACCAGGCCUGUAAGGAUGCUGUGACAUCAAAACCAGUAAUCCAGUUUCAAGGAAGCCAAGGGCACAUCGCAAUUCCAAGGCCUGAUCGACCUACGGAAGUGCGGACUUUCACAUUUUAUCUUUCAAAUAUUGGCAAGGACAGCCCCCAAGGGAGUUUUGACUGUAUCCAGCAGUAUGUAUCUAGCAAUGGCAAUAUCCAUUUGGAUUGCCUUGGAAGCAUACAGGAUAAAAUCACCGUGUGUGCUACUGAUGAUUCCUACCAGAAGGCAAGGCAAAGCAUGGCACAGGCAGAGGAGGAGACUCGCAGCCGGAGCGCUAUAGUCAUUAAACCUGGGGGGAGAUACGUAGGCAAAAAGGUUCAGGUGCGUAAACCUGCACCAGGAGCUUCCGAUGCUGUUCCGUCCAGGAAGCGCCCAACGCCAGUCAACCUUGCCAGUGCAAUAAAGAGAGGCAAUAGUGCGAUUUCUCAGAGACCCUUCAAAGAUAGGGUUGUGCAUUUACUGGCACUAAAGCCUUAUAAGAAACCUGAACUUAUUCUCAGAUUGCAGAAGGAUGGACUUUCUCAGCAGGACAAGGAUUUGCUGGACAACCUUCUGCAACAGGUGGCAAAUUUGAGUGCCAAGGACAGCACUUUCACACUGAAAGAUUGUGUAUACAAAGAAGUACAGAAAGACUGGCCUGGCUACUCUGAAGGAGAUCAGCAGUUGCUGAAGAGGAUACUUGUUCGGAAACUCUGUCAGCCACAGAACAGUAGCGGUUUUCAAGGAGAAGCGCCUUCCCUGAGUCCACCAAAAGACAAUGUGAACUCCAGCUCUCCUCCUCAGAAACGAUCCCAGCCUCUGGAGUUUAUCGAUCCCCUGGCCAACAAAAAGCCCAGGAUCUCGCAUUUGGCUCACAGAACUCAGCCCACUUUCAACGGGAAACUGAAUUCCUCCAACGGGAAGGACGCUCCUGCCCCUGCCCUGCCGCCAGCUCUCCCGGAGUCGGUGAGCUCCAGCUCCAGCCUGCCGGUGCUGGAGCUGCCGAGGCCUCACGAUCCCCUUUCGGAUGUCAGCAAUGACCUGACUCACAACGGCAGAGACUGUGAGAACCCAGAGACGGCUGACAGACUGACUCAUCCUUUGUCAACAGACUGUCCCCAAACGAGCAAGCACAAUUGCAGCUCGUAUGUAAAAACCAAGAAAAAAUCCAAAAAGCACAAAGACAAGGAAAAGGAGAGAAAGGAGAAGAAAAAUGAAGAGAAAUGCAAAGAGGAGAAGCAGGACUGUGAAGUAAUAAAAAAUGCUGACUUAGUUAGUGUUCCCCAGGAACAGGUCACAGGUUUAAAUGGAACAUGCAAUAAUUCUAGUGUACCAACAUCAACUUCAGAAAUGCCAGAUUAUUUAUUAAAAUACGCAGCCAUUUCCUCUUCGGAGCAGCGUCAGAGUUACAAAAAUGACUUCAAUGCAGAAUACAACGAGUACAGAGACUUGCACGCCCGGAUAGAGAGGAUAACUCGACGGUUUACGCAGUUAGACGCCAAGCUGAAGCAGCUUUUGCAGGGCUCUGAAGAAUAUAAGACCAUCCAUGAUCAAAUUUUACAGGAAUAUCGGAAAAUUAAAAAGACUAACCCCAAUUACAGCCAAGAGAAGAACCGCUGCGAAUACCUCCACAACAAACUGGCUCAUAUUAAAAAACUGAUAGCAGAGUAUGACCAACAGCAGUUUUAGCUGGCACUAAUCUGGACUGGGUAGGGCAAAAAAAGUCACCUGGACGUUACGUUCCCUUUUAUACAACUAGAUUCCUUUCAGAGACGAGCAUUAAUUCAUCGUGGUUGAAGAACUUGGGGAUUACUUACGAUGCCGAAUCUGUCGUGUCCACGUCUGAGCCGGGUCGCAAGCCCAGCGCCCGGCACGGUCCUCUCGAGUUUUAGCCGCUCUGAAUGUCGGAAUGUAACAAAUGAAAAAAUCUGCUUAUUUGAAGCCAGCGUUUGACACUUAAGGGAAAACUUGCCUAAAGUGAACGAAGCUCCCAAAGGUUAAGAAUCAGUAGUUUUCAUGGAUUAAAGUUUGGCAUGAAGUGUAAUUACCCCUGGCCCAGGUCCACUGGGUUACAAAUUGCCCUUCAAAUGGUGAGGAACUGGAAUGCUGCUAGGUUACCUCCUUCUCUGGCACCUGCGACUGUUCAUAUGCAAGCUGUCUGCUCUACAUGGCACCGCGUUAAAUACACCAAGUACCCAGAGCUCUCGUUGUUUGUUCCUGCUUUUGUCAUCUCCGCCUGUGUGAUUUGACUUCUUCCCGCUUCCGUUUAUCUCAAAGUAAAGGAUUACUUUCCUGUGGCGUCUCCUUCCCUUGGAGGUUGCACUGAAGAGUCUUUCACCCUUUGAAGGAGCGGAAUGGCAGAGUUAAGGAGGGAAACAGUUCUUACACAAGGAGUAUUUUAUUCUUUUCCGCCCCCCCCAAAAAAAAGUGGGUCCAUCUGCUGUAUAAAAAAAACAAAAAGAAGAAAAAAUAAUAAUAAUUCCAUUCUGGCUAGAUUGGUUUUGCUGCGUCGUCGGCCAGGGCCACCGCUUUGCUUUGUCACUUGCAAUGUUCUGAGUUUCUCUCCCUGCCGCGUUGCAUCCAGCGCUCACCAGGACUUUGCCAUCCCGUUCUUCAAACGAAAGCCUGCGGCUGAAGGGAUGCGGCUGAGCUGCACGUUGCUGACCCGGCAGCCCUCCGGCCGUGGUCCACGGACUGCCACUGGACAGCCACGUUUUUCUGCUGGUCUGCAAAACCCAAACCUGUUCAGAAGCGGAGCGGUGAAGGAGUUGGGGGGGAAGAGAUGUGAUGUCCAAGCAGCGCGGUGGUCCAUAGGGUGAGCACCCCGGAGAGCCUCGCUAGGGAAGUCCCAACGAGCAUCUCGGGGCCUGGGGAACACUUUGGUCCCAUCUCUUCCUCUCCAGAUAAAGACGACUGGAGGUUAGGGAGCCAUUUCUCUUGUGGGCAUACCUGUUUGUGUAACGCUGCCCGCCUCCGAUGCUUCUGCUCAUCAGGGAAAGCUGGAAAAUACACGAGAGUUAAAGGCGAGGAGCUUUUGUCCAGAAAACUUUGUCCUCCUGCUCGGUGGGGUCUUGCACCUGGUUGGUGCAUGAGUUUCUUAAGCAGUAAGCGGCGGCUGGUGGCAAUGUCCGAGCAGUGUCCAAGCUCAAGCCUCGCGUGGGCUCUGAUUCCAAGAAACCUCCCGGAGCUGCGAGUUUGUGCACCCAGGUGGAUUUCACCGGAGCCGCAGGGAUCUGGGAGGGGGCGUUAGGCUGCGUGGAGGAACCGGGAUGCCACGCUUUCUCGGACCCGCUGUGAGAUUUGUCACUGCAAAACCUGGUCGGUGCCAGACCCGCGAGCGGCAUCGCCAGCCGGCGGUUACAGAUUCGGUGUUCCCGGUGGCAAGGCUGCAUUUCCCAGCACCCACCCACCCACCCAUCGCAUCCACCCGGCAGCGCGCCGAGCCACGGGGGCUUGGUGGGACUUCAUCUCCGACUGCGGUGCGCGAGGAGCCCGAAACUCAGGCGGCAGAAGAGGCAGCAGCUACAAACCCAGGAUGAGUAAUUUCUUCCAUGGAAACACUUCUCCUUCUGAUCCUUAAUAUUUUGAAUGGGAUUUUUUUGUUGCUUUGGGGGG